AGGGGCGUAGCUCAAUUGGCAGAGCAACGGUCUCCAAAACCGUAGGCUGUCGGUUCGAUUCCGGCCGCCCCUG
rnacentral:tRNA from 2 species